GCCCCUGUAGCCCAAUCGGUUAGAGGCACACGACUUAAAAUCGUGCCAGUGUGGGUUCAAGUCCCACCAGGGGUAC
rnacentral:tRNA from 1 species